CACUUCCGUUGUGGCUUAUUUUUAAUUGCAUCUUUUUGUUUUUGCAGUAAGUAACUUUUUUUUUCCCUAUUGCCACUUUUUAAUGCGUCGUUAACUUCUGUUGUGGCUUUUUGCUCUUAAAAUCUGCACCAUAUCUAUUUUUGUUUACAGCGGGCUUCAGUUCUUUUUUUUUGCAUCGGUAACUUGCAUCGCUAUUUUUUUUGCAUUCUUUUUUAUUUGCAGCAGUGGCAGUUCUCGCCCCUCAUAGAAGCUCCUUAUUUAAUUUUUUCUUCAGCAUCCAAAUAACUGAGCUUCCUCUCCACUUUAUUAGCCAAAAUGAAGGGAAAUCAAAUGUUAUGCUCAGGCCUAUCGCCUCCUGGCUAAAUGCACAAACACAUAAGAAGAAAUGGAAAGGUAGUGCACAUGCAUGAAGGCCAUUUUCUACCCUGCAUGUGUGUUCAUUUGCAUAGGGAGGAAAGUAUGUUUAUGCAUAUGCAUCGAGGGGGGGCUGCUGAGGUGAUAUGAUGCUCUGUGUGCGCCUCCAUUCACCAUGAAACAGCUCCAUAAAGCUGCAAAAUGCUGCCAGAGCUGAAGCCGACCUGUUAGAGAUAGACUGAGAAAGAGAGAAAGAGAAAGAAGUAGAGAGAGAGAGGGAGAGAGAGGGGAAAUCCUUUGUUCUGUCAAGGACUUAACACAAUCAGAGUGUACAGUGUGUCAGGAGCGCACAGGCAUAUAUCAACUUCAAUCUCUUUUUAAUGAAAAAUCCUGCCCUCUCUAAUAUGUGCAAAUUAACCUCUUCUCCUCCCCUCCCUCCUCCCCUCCUGUCGUUUCCCCUCCUCUCUCCCUUGCGUUGGCCCCUCGCUCCCUCUCCUCUCGGAUCCCCACCCACUUCUUCUGUCCCUCUUCUUCCUCCUUUUCCACUCUCUCUCUCUCUCUCUCUCUUCACUUCCACCAAUUUUCCCACCUCUGUCUUGUUCCUGGGAGGGCAGAACAAGAAGAGGAGAGUUACCGCUGGAGGCAGAGACUCCUGCUUUUCAUUAGCUUGUUGCUUUAACCACCCAACCCCCCACUCGAUGCAGCAAUUAUCUCGAAAAUUUACUUGUGAAAUGUAUUAAACAUCGCAGAAAACCAUCCAGAGGUCAGUGUCCAGCAGCAGCAGCGGCAGAGGUGGCAGAAUUAAAAUUCUCCCUCCAUCCUCUCCUGCUCUCUUUGGUUUUCAUCCCUGUCUGCCGAAUCAUGCUAUUACCCUGAUUAUCCUGAUGAGCUGGUCAGAUCCUCGCUGUCUCAUUCUGCCCAUGCUGAUUGUAAUUUAGAAAUUACACCUAAUGAGGAAUUUUUAAAAAACACGGCGGCCACUCUGUGCUCCACGCCGCUCCCUGGCCCUAAUGGAUUUCCUGGUAUGGAAUCCAUUUUUCCCCCUUUUCUGCCCGGCAUGGGGUCUGGCUAUCCAGGCCCUCCCCCUUCCUCCGCUCUCACCCCACCUCCCUCCAUCCCCUCAUCCCCCCCUACUCCACUAAUUGGGGGCGACUGGUUUUGGUGAAAAGAAGUCAUAAUCAUUGUUUCUGCUGCUAAUUUAAGUGGUUAAGUGUACGGGAUCGGCUCUCAGAAUGAGGAAAUGAGGAUGAUUAAAUUUACAUUUUUUUGUCUUAACAGCUAAAGUGCCAAUUUCCUUUUUUAUGGUUGUUGAAAUUUUUGUAAAGAUAAUCUACAUAUGGAAUUUUUACAACAUCUCAAGAGAGUUAUUGCCUUUUGAUGCAUCCUAGUUUUGCUAAUUAAGGUUGUAAAGACUCGAACCAGCGUUAAAGGUGGCAAAACAAACGUUUCUCACUCAUUAGACGCUUGUUUGGUGCUAUAAACAAAGAGAAAAGUUCCUUUAAAACAUCAGAGCUGUUUCUCAUUCUCUUACUGAGGAAUCUGAUGCAUCAAAAGUCUGAAGAUUAUCGUUUUCACCUGCCCUUCCUUUCUCACAAACACCUGUAUGAUGUGUAUGCGUUUAGGGAGUAUUUCCUAGAAAUGGGGGAAGGACAAACACACACGCAGAGGCACGCAUGCAAAUCAAAGCCAUCAACAGCUUGUGAUGAAGUGAGACGUCGUGGCAUAAACAGAGUGUGCCGUUACCAUGGAAGCCACUUUCACCUCACAGGGCCGAGAGAAACAGGCCGAGAGAGACGGAGGAACACACAAAGAGCCAACGAGACAGGGAGGGAGCGACAGAAACGGAGUCACAGAUAGACAGAAAGACAGACAGACAGUGUGAUACAAGCUCCUCAUCGGCUACAUUUAAGAGCUUAGCAGCUUAUCACUGGCUUCCAUCCCUGGGAGAGCAACACUAUAUUUGUACAGUGAGCACUACCGAAGAAAAGCAGAGUUCAUUCAAAUGCUGUUUCUUGGUUGGGUUAGCCUUUACUAGUUUAACAAGAGCAUCCUGAAGCUACAGAGGCUAAAAGUUUUGCAGUUGGGAGUCUUACCUAUCCUUCUUUGGGUCUUUUUUUUUCCUUUCAAGACUUUAACUUUGUAAAUUUAAGUCACCAUUUGCAGGAAAAACAACAGGAUAAUCCAUCACUUGUUUAAUACUUAAAGCUCUCAUGCAUGUACUUUGUAUCAGGAGUGUUCUGGUCUCUAUUUGUAGACCUAGCAGGAUUGUGCUCUGAUUUUCAGCAGACUUUGGUUGGACUCAUCCAUUGUAAUGCAACCUAUGAACCAAUCAGCAGUUAUCUAACCCUGAUUUCGCUCAAAUCAUUGACUGUAGACAAGUCUUUGCUUCAAAACACAAAAGCUGGCUAUGGAAAAAGAAGUCCCGACCAGAAGUCUUCUAUUAGCUACACCUGAAGCCCUGAAAAGUUUGGAGACUAUAAUUUCCUUUAAGAGCGCAAUAUCAUAAGAACUUUACAGAUUGUUCAGGGUUUCCCACGCACAGAUGAUACCUUAAACUUAAAUAAGUUAAAGAAAAAAGGAGUUAUACAUAUAUUACGUAAGGUUUUUCAACCACUCCGCCAACCGCCACAGGUAGAGCUAUGGGAAGUCUAUGAGAAACACUACUGCCCCUCUUUCCAGCAUCAGUUCUCUGCUCUUACACAUGUAUUCACCUUCAGGAAGAAAAUUGCUUCCUUUUUGAAAAAUUUACUCUGCUAGAAAAGCCGAAACUGCCUGCGUUUCGUGCUCUAAAAGACCACUUCAACAAGCAAUUUAUUAUAACCCAAACUGUGGCUAGGAAUUGGACAAAGCGACCUGGUCACAUGACAUCAAACAGGCCGUCUUAACUAAGAGUCCCGAGCAAAGAGGUACUUCAUUGAGCAGAUAAACUAAUGACAAAUUUCCCCGUCUUUAUACUUCAUAAACGAUUCCUCUUAACCAGAUGGAAACCUGUAUUCAGUUUGUCGAGCUCGUUUGCUUCCUCAAAGAUGUAACAGCAGGUUUUAGAGCGUCUACAAAGAAAAAUUAAUUAGCCUCGUAAUGUUUUACAAAACUGUUUCUGCGUAUGAAGAUAUGGUUUCAUUUAGGUCUACACUUCAUCAGGUCACCACACAAGUAAUUCUACAUGUUGGGUUUUCCUAUGUGCGCCGCCCUCUCUGUCUGAUCGCUGCCCUUUCAGAGAAACAUCUAGACUCCAUACCAUCUGCGAAAAGGUCGGGUGAGGGAGGCAACGUUAGCCAUGCUAGCUUUCAAGGUUUGCCGGGGAAGCUAGAGGAGGUAAUCAGAGGAAAAUAUGUCCUCUCCUCCUCCUCUUCUUUUAGACCUCCAUUAGACCAGCCUGCCUCUUUCUGGGAAAAUUGAUUUUCUCCCUCCCCUCCUCCUCUCCUCUCCUGUUUCUCUUCUUUUUUCCUGCUUCUCGGGUUCCAUUUGAGGCUUGUUCAUGCACUCUCAAGAGCAGCUCUGAGAGAGAUAGAGAGAAAAGAGAAUAGUUAGGCCACGACAGGUUGUUCACACAUAUACUUACCCACCCCCCAGUGGCGGGGAGCGUUGCUGGGGUCUCAUCUCUGUCAUGUGCAGACACACAGAGGCCUGCAGGUUCUUUUUAUCCCUCUUUUUUUCUACUCACAUCUAACUAAUCCUUUCCUUCCUCUACUGUUCUUUCUCCUCCUCUUCCACUUUCUGCUGCCCUUCUUCCAGUCUUCACACUCGCAACCCCCUCCUCUCUACCUCAGAGCCAAGUCUUGGAUCAAUGCACCAUUGAUUUUCCUAUCAAUGAACAUUAGUAUGGAUCAGACUGCUGCUUGCACUACCCUGCCCCAAAGAACUACAUACAUGCACACUCAUACAUACAUGCAGCAAAAGUGCCUGUUGCAGAUUUCAUCCCGGAUGAGCAGGGAUGUUGAGGACAAAGAAAAGCAGAAUGAAAAAGACAAUGAUAGAAAUAAAGGAGUGCGGGUUAGAUGAUAGAGGGGUUCUAGUUGGGAGCACAAGAGCCAAUCAAUGAGCGGAGUGACAGAAAGGAUAGGAAAUGAAAUCAGACCGAGCAGAGUUAGUGUUUGUUCCUGCCUAAAGGAAACAGUCAUUGGUCAACUGCCUGCUAGUCGAUUCACUGCAGGAUAAUUCAGUCUGAUUGGCAACCAGCACAGGCUGCUAAUAAUGGCUGCUGAUGGUGAUGUGUGCGCUUUAUUCACCUUCGGAUGUCUUUCUCUUUUACCUCUGCCACACACACACACACACACACAUGCACACGCACAUCACUGCCUCUUCUCUCACCCUAUAAUGGGCUCUGAGUCAGGUGGAGAUUGACACUUUUCUUUCUGCUGUGCACCCUUUGUGUCCAACAUUGUAUUCAUUCCACACAAACCCACGGCGGCCUCUCGCUUGGAAAGAGAGAGAGGGAGAGAGAGAGAGAGAGCGCAUUUCUGAGCACAUCAGCUACAUUUUGCAUCACCAAACAAUGGAUGUGUGCUUACACUCGGCAUUAGCAUCUUCAAUUAACCCUGCAGUUGAUGACAAAGACGCAGGACUGUAAAUAUUUUACAUCUGUUGUGCAUAAUCACUUUAGCCUGUGGGACUCCUCCUACACUGACAGUCGAUCUAGAGCGUUCCUGAAAAAAAUUAGUGAUGAAUUAUGCUCCGUCCUCUGUCCUGUCUCGCAGAAUGAUGGGCCGUGAAUGUCUCUGCGCUGUGUGACGCUUUACAAAUGGUCCUCUUUGGGUCUCUUGUGAGGCAGCGUUGUAUCAUUUAUAAUUACAUUACCUUUUCUUUUACACUCCUCAGAGAGGGAGGGAGACAGAAGCUGUGUGGACUGGUGCCGGUAGAACAAAGAAACAUCCUUCUUUGAGAGUGCUUGCAUGAAAGUUGAUCCUCGCUUAAGACCCCCAGUACAAGGAAACUGAGACGCCUCAGGGCCGUCCUUCGCCCUGCCUGAAUGUAAAGCGCUUUAAUUUGGGUUGUGGUGGCACCCGCCUGCCUGCCUGCCUUAUUGCUUACUUCUCUACCUAUCUGUGUGUGUAUCAUGUUAUUUACAAUCUAAUUCCCUUAUGCAGUGUAUUUCUUGAGUUACAUAAGUUUGAAUUAUUCACAAUUUAUAACAAUAAAUUGACCAUAGCAUGCUGCAAAAACACAAUGUAAAAGACCUUGUAAUGAAGGACUACUAUUUUGGUAUUUCUUCUUUCCAGUUAUCUAAGUGGCUCAGGUGUAUGUAAGAUUAAACAUAGCAAAUAAUAAAGAUAUUUCUGGACAUUCAUGAAUGAGCAAAUGGCCUUCAGGAAUACAAAGAAUGACACUGAUUUCAGAUAUUGACUUAAAGUCAAUAUCUGAAAUUGAAAAUGUGUUUUGUAAGCACUAUUUCACAGCAUCACAAAACACCUCUACAGCCUCUUUUUACGCUCACAACCACAUCAGUCCUUUCAUACUCACUCGUUAUCAUUGAGACUCUUUUCUGGCAUGGCCUUGAGUUGAAAGAUGUGUAUUAAAAAUGCCUCUGCUAUUAGAGGUUAUAUUUGUUAUAUAGAGUAAUAACCACACUUCUGGAUUCAAAACCUGGCUGCUUUCAUUCAUGCCGGGCCAAACACUACCAGAAGAGUUCAAUGUUACUUUUAGAAAACGGACAAUGAUGGUGAAAACAGGACUAUUCAGGACUGUCAUGGUCAGGCUAUGCUGAUAUAAUUUCUUUACAGACAGCAUCUACAUAUUCUCCUGGUAUUUGCACUGACUGAGAACCACACACACACACACACACACACACACACACACACACACACACACACACACACACACACACACACACACACACACACACACACACAGUAGUAGUCAACCUGUGAGAGCUGUGGAGCAUGCAUAGGGGAGCCCGUAGACUUUUCUGGCAACAUGUCAACCAGACUGUAACCUUUGCAACCACAAAGUUCAAUUACUCACUUAACUCACUUUGAUCCAGAUCCCUGCCUCUGAUUGAGGCUUUAACAUGUGGACAGACUAAAAUAAGACUCAGCCCUGAAUGAACCAUUUAACAACAACACACAGCUGACGCAUUGUUAAAUCCGUGUAUGAUGGGAUCCUUACAAGGAAAUUGGGAAUUAAAACGAGCACCAACAAAUUACGGAGGAAAACUGGCACGUAUUUACUUUUUAUGGUGUUUAAAAAGAGCUGUAAGUCAGGGUAUGUUUAUUUUGGCUCAAGACGUGUUUGUACAACGUAAUUUGAGAAAUAGAGAUAAAAAGUAGUGUAACAGAGUCUGACAAGUUAACCUAAAAGAGACCCAAACAGCCUGCUGUCCUCGGUAAGAGGAAGGAUAAACAUGGCGGGUCCUUCUUGGUGUUAUGUGCUCCAUGUGGACUAAAAUAUUAACGAACCUCGUCUUGUUUACUUCUUCUGUUAAACUUCUUAUUUGUUUUUUCGUCGUGACAGUGUGACCUUUACAGUUUUUAGCACUUGCCUGCUCAGCGAGAAGCCGUCGUGCCUUCGAGUCGAGCAGAAUAGGAAGGGGAAAUCGAGCUCCGACCAGCGGCUUAAAGCUGCAGCAGCAGCCGGCAGGAAGCUGCUUUUCACCGGCAGGCUGGAGGAACAGCUGCCCCUGUGCGCGCUGGGAAACACCGGCUUUCCUGGUAUUGACACCGCCGACAAAAUAAAAUAUAAUUACUGCAAAAUAAAUUAAAAAUAUGCAAUAAAAUUUACAGGCGUGUUUUAUUUUGGUGAAAAAUUAAGAGCGAAAGAUUAAAUGUUUUUAUUAUAAUUUUUUUUUUUACAUUUACAAAAACAGCAGAUGAACCAUUUCUGUUAUGAGUGAAAUAAAAUGGAGCUGGUUAAAAAAUAUAUUUUUAGACACAAAGAUAAUUUUAUCAGGAUUUCCUUUUGUAUAUCCAUCAAUCUCAAUACGAACUCCAAACAUAGUGCUAUAUUUUUAAUCCUUUAUUAGCUAUCAUGAUAUAUUUUUCAGGUCGUAGCUGUUUUUCCGGAUAUCUUUAAUAAAAAAUCUGCAGAACCACACACAUGAAAAAGGUGGAUAACAGGUUAAAGACUGAGCCCUUUCAAUGAGAUGAUAUUUGCAUUUAAUAUCCCUUCUCCACACACUGGCCUGCCACAUUGUAACAGUGACAGGCAGGCUUAAGGGACUGUAAUUGCAAUCACAUUGACCCACAAAACCUUUUAUUGUCAGAGUAGUCUAAGCACGCACACACAUCCACGCACACUCGGGGCUCCAGUGGGAUAACCAAGCUUAUUUGGGGUGGGGGGGCUACAGAUGUAUAGGCUACUUCUAUACAUCUCAGGCAGAAAUUAACCACGGAGCCUUUAUCACCGUAACAUCUGUCACAUUCAGGGCCUCUGUUUGGAGCCGGUGAUGCUGCCACGGCGCGCGCUCCAACCCAUAAUGAGAGGUGAUGGUGAUGACUAUAGAGAUGGUGAAUUAGAGCAGGCAUGCGCGCUCUGCUAGAGGUGAAUGUGAGCUAUUCAGAUUUCCAUAUAUGUCCUCCUGUCACAAGGGAGAGACCCCCCUCUCCUCCUCCUCCUCGUCCUCUUCGUCUUUUCCUCACACACACGAUCACACAGCACCCCCUCCCUCCUUUCUUUGUUCCCCUCCGAUGAGAGAGAGAGAGAGAGAGAGAGAGAGAGAGAAAUCACACCACUGCCACCCAGCGGCCGAGGGGGCGUGCGUGACCGUGCGUGACCGUGCGCGUGAGCUCGUCGUUACCCUGAACAUGGAUGAAAUCUCGUCAGUGGGUCAUUGAAAGAAAAAAAAAUCCGCCACAUUUUAACAACAUGUUUAUCGCCAUUUUGGAUUCAGAUGGUCUGCACUGCACCCACACGCUUUCACUCACGCGCACUGCUUUGCCUGAGUGUCCUUGAGCAAGACACUGACCCCGUGCUGACCUCUCGUGGGGUUGGGGGAGGGUCUAGCCCCCUCUCCUCUGACAUAAUCAUAUUAAGAUUUGAGGGAUGGACUCGCUUAUUAUUACAUUUAUUUUUGGUCUUUUCACGAUUAUAUCUGCCACUCGUGGAAAAUGACUCGACAUAGCGGAGGAUCUGCAGGACAACAAUUUAAUUAGCUCUCUAUAUAAGCGCGUUAAUGAGGUGCUUAACAGGGAGACGUUAAUUACAGAUCCUAUAUGGCCCUGUUUUUGUCUGCAGGGCAUCUCCUCCACUCUCCUCACGCGUGUAAGUGGGAUUAAUCAAUCAUGCUGUUGCACCUUUUAUUCAUCAUCGCCAAUCUGCCAUGACAGAUCCAUUCAUAAAUUGCAUGGAUUUUUCUUUAAUUGUGAAUUGUGCAGGGUGAUUAAUCUUAGAGAUAUAGGCUAUGGAGGGAGUUUGCUGUUAAACGGUGAUCUGCUCAAAAGUUAAAACAAUAAAUGAUUAAACAGAAGAUCAGAGAAGAGAGACGGGGAGGAGUGGAUAGGUUUUUUUUCCAACAGGGGGCAGAAUCACUCUGCAAAAAUCCCCUUCUCUCCCCUCGAUCUUCCUCUCUUCUCUCUUUUCUUUCUCUUUUUUCACACAUGCAUCUUUAUUCUGCACACAUACGCUAUAGGAUAUGUUUUUUUUUCUCUUCUUUUCGUCAAGCUGCCUCCAAAAUGACCUCGACGUGUAGCCCCGUAAAAGUCUGAACCCUGCGUGUGUCCUGUUUGUUUGUUUAACAAAUAAACUUUUCAGCCACAUCAGGGAGGCGCAGAUUGGUCCCAAGGCUUCUCAUCCAUUUUAGCAAAUGAAGCUGAAAGCCCUCUGAAAUGGUUAAACAGACGUGAUGUUUGACAAAGUGCAAAAGCCAGUUUUGGUUCCUCCUGGGAGCUGAAAUUACCUUCUCUUGUAAGGCUGGUGGUUGCUGUUACAUCAAGUGUUACAAUAACAACUGGAUAUACAUCUUGGUAAUUAAAGUUUAUUAUUUCUUCUUUGGGCCUCGUGGAAGGUCGGAGUCCUGGUUUUAGGCUCAGUUGUGCUUCAUUAUGCAAUCUUGAAUACAAACAUAAAACUAGAUAAAUUCAUUUUUAAUCUUUUAUAGUGUUCAAUGAAGAAAAUGAGCUGUAAGAGCUGGUUUUUAAACUCAUAGAGAAUUGUUCACUUUAUAAGCAGGAUUUAUUUUCUUCACUGUAGGCUGCUUCACUUUAUUUUACAUGCUAACAGUGACUGAGUAAAAUAUAUCUCAUGACAUCAACCUCAUGACAGCCAGCUGACUGGGUUCGUUUCAUAACACUUCAUCUAGAGACAGAUGCAAAUAUAAAUUCUCUGUCAGGCAAAUUUUUUUCCUGACAAGUUCCUUAGAAUAAAAAUCCACAACAGCAAAACAAGUCCUUGGUUUUGCAUAAUCCUAACAAGCCUCUCGGUACAGCCUGGAGUGUGCAGAGACCACAUAUGAAACGCAAUAAUCACAAAGGACGAUCAGAAAUACUCAAUAUCCUGACCCUGCAGGUGCAGAGUCAAAAUCACCUCAUAGAUUAAUGCUGUUCGCAACUGUGAGUUAUUAAAAUUACGCUUUUACAUAAUUUGGGCCUGUUCGCCUCACUCUCACCGCCAUGGGUUAAAGUAAACACUCAGCACUGAGUAUAUUUAAAGAGUGUACUUUUACCCAAAUACUCAAGCAGACUGGUAGUUUUACUUAUGCUGUGGUAGAUUAUCUUGAAGGAUGUUUUAGCACUCCUUCCACUUGGAUCUUUUGUGAAAUGGGAAGUUUUUAUUCUCCAGUAGCACUGCUGAAUUAGGACACGAUCGGUCACUGCAUUACAGACGUGAUUUUUGAGGGCUGUCCUGAACAAAUCUGCAGAAACACGAACUUUUAUAAGCACUGAAAGUUCAUUUAAUUUUGUAAACGUGCUCACAGCCGUCGAGAAAGGAAGGGGUAUGGCACUUUUUACCCUUCUCGUGAAACUGAAUCUACCUCACGUUAUCUCCAAAGACGCAUGAACCCUCUUCUGGUUUCACAGGCUGAUGUAAUAUAUUUUUUAAUUAUAGGGGUCUAAAGGCAACAAGGAUUUAUUCUUAGAUUAGAGUUGUGAAAGUGCUUCCCAAUAAACCUCAUUUUCUUUUGUUUUAUGAUGAGCAGGAACUUUGAUAGACAGUCCAGUUACUAUUGUUAGUGAUUUUUAAUGAACUGUAAAACAAAGAGGCCCACCUGCCACCAUUCAGAUACAGCCUAAAGCUUAACUAAAAGAUCAUAUACAGACCUUUAAUAGCUGUCCAUAACGAUCAAACCUUCAUGAGAAAGAAACUGAACUUGAAUAUCAAAUAGAAUAAAAAAAAGUUAAAAGUGUCUGUAUAGUUCACAGACAUCUGAACCAUGAGCAGAGUCUAUAAUCCCACCAGUUAAGCAGCGUUCAUGGCACAAAAGUUUAAUGCAUGUUUAGCUGUGUGAUCAUAAAACCUUUUAAAUAAUUGUCAUGUCUUGUUCUUACAGGUGGAGAAAUGUAACAUGACAGAUAACGAUGAAGUGCAGCAGUGCAGACACUCAGUGAAAGAUCUAAAGCAUGCAUGUGGAGGGGGAAGUGCUCUAAAAAUGACCACUUAGAGUCAUCAGUAAAUACUUUUAAUCCUGAUUUAAAGAUAAAUCUGAAAUUAUGAAACCAUUUUAUGAAAAACUACAACAAACUAUCAAACCAGUCAGAGAUCACAAAAGCAGGCCUGGACUUGUUGUAUUUUUCUAACAACCAAUCUAGUCAGAGAUCCACAUUUUUUGAGAAAAUCAAUGUUUUAAAAAAAAUGCAGAAAAAAAAACAUUGUAAACAGUUUAUUUAAAAUAGUGUAAAUCUCAGAUCUGCAACCCUCAUUGCAAAACCUUUAACAUGCAUUCACCCCUGUCCCAGAACAGGGUAGUAUAAGGUAAAUGAAAACUGCAACAUAAAGUUGUUCUUGAAGAUGAUUCUCUUUUUGUUCACGAUGCUUGUAUUUCCCUGGGUUAUGUUACCACAGCGUCUUCUUAAAGGGGAUGUUCCCAGAUUUUCAUUAUUUCAAUGGAUUAAAAGGAGGGAAUAAACAACCAAAGACCAAAGGAUUAUUUUCGAGCUGAAUAAAAUGCAUCUGCGGAGAUAUAAAGAUGAAAAAAGAGAAAAGUCUUCACUGCAAAUUUAUUCAAAUAAGAUCACACAGAGUGGAGAGAGACUGUAGUUCACAUCAUCGUUCAAUUCAUUUGACAACGAUCAGAAUACUCGCCUAUUACUCAGUCGAGUUCAACUUUAUUUCUCAACAACUUCAAUAUUUGAAACUUUUACAAAACUCUUAAAGUUAAAAAACAAAGUUAGGCUGAAUAUCUUCCAGGUUCUUUAAUUUUAUUAGGCAGGCUAACACGUGCUAUUUUUGACUAAGCAUAUUAGAGUGAUUGUCUUGACAUUAGUUUUACAUUGAGAUCAGAUCACAUCACAACUUAAAGACCUUACACUGGCUCCCAGUCAGCUACAGAAUAGAUUUUAAAGUUCUAAAGGUCCAGAAUACAUGAACGAUAUGUUAGUAGAGUAUAAACCCAGUAGAGCUCUGAGAUCUACUGAUUCAGGUCAGACAUGGUGAAGCAGCAUUUAGCUGUUCUACUGCUUCACACAACUGGAACAAACUACCAGCAGAACUGGAAUCAGCCCAAACGCUAAGCACUUUUAAAUCCAGGUUAAAAACAUUUCUCUUUUCAUGUGCUUUUGGCUGAGCUCUUUUUGAUCAUUUUAAACUUUAUCCAUUGCUCCUGCUUUUAACUGUGUGUGUUUUUAUGCUAUUCUUUAAAAAAAAGUGUUGUUUCUAUGUAAAGCACAUUGAGUUGCCUUGGUAUGGAAUACGUUUUAUAAAUGAAGAUGCCUUGCCUUGUACUCGAAGUUGCAAUCAACUGUUACAUCUGCGAAUAAAAGACUUAAGACCCAUUCUUUGGCAACAUGAUGCUUCUUUUACAUUUUUAAAGACCUACAGCUUUAAUAUAAAACUGGUUUAUAUCUUAAGUAAAAAAGAAGUAGGCCUGGCUAAUAGAUUCAAACACCUAAUAUUAUACAAACGUGGAGAAAGUGUUUCUGCUGCACCUCAUUCAUAGCUAAAUAUGCUUAGAGGUGGCCUAAAUUAAAAAAAUGAUGGCCAAGGGUAAACCAGUAAGCUUGGAUCCAUAUAUAUUUUUUUUAAACUUUAUUUUUCAGUAUAGCAUGGUUCGAGACAAUUAUUUCUUUACAACCAUUUUUUCCUUUUUCUUAAAAAUAAAGAUUGAGGGAAAAAAGAAAAGGGGAACAAAGGAACAGAGUGGGCAGUUCUUACUCUUUAUUUUGCAAGUGCUUAAGUCCACAUAGUCUAUUUAUUAAGCUGUCCAUUUCCUCCAUUUCGUGAUGAAAGGUAGACAUGUCCAGCCUCAAAUGGCAAGUUAGACUUUCAAUGGUAUAAAUUUCGCCCAUAAUGUCCAUCCACUGUCCCUGUAACGAGCGAUCAGUUUUCCUUAAAUCGAUAAACAUCUCCUUGUUCUAUUACUUUCUCAGGUACGGCUCCCAAAUGCAUGAAUUUGGGAUCUCUUUGAAUAAAAUAGUGCAGAGUCUCGUUCACUUCGUCCCAGAAAGGUUGUAUCUGUGCGCAUGAACAGAAAAUAUGAGUAUGAAUGGCGUCUCCCUGUCCACACUGCCUCCAACAGAAUGUUUUUUUGUCCAGAUAUUUACCAGUAAUAUGUGGUGUUAGAACAAGCUUGGAUAUCUUAAUUUAUAGACAAGACUGACACGCCUUUGUUAUGAUAAAGUGACAAGAAUAGGAUGCCUGGAUAUAGUUUAUUGAUUUGCUUCACUCUAAUGCGUGGACUUUUAUUUUGAAGGAAUCCAAAAGUGGACGUCUAGGAUCCAUGUGUGAAUAAAUCCCACAGCAUCGAUGGUUAUUGGUGCAGUAUGUGAAGAGGAGGAGACACGCCUGGCGCGAAUCAAUUUUGACCUUCAGCUCGUGACGCACGUUUAUGAGGAAAUGUCACGGAGGCAGCUGUAACGUGACGUGGGAGACGUCCGAAAAGAAAGCUGCGGUGAAAUGCACUCAACAAACCGAUGUAACGACAUAUCUAAAAAAUGCAAGGAGAGAGAGAGAGAGAGAGAGAGAGAGAGAGAGAGAGAGAGAGGGAGCUAAUCGGUUCAACAAGCCGACCUGGGGCCAGUUUGGACUUUGGACAAAGCUCGGAGUCAGAGGUCACCGUGAUAUCUGCAGCAGCGUGUGUGGCCGCGCGCGAGACUGCAGCCCUCCUCAUGUCAGGAUAAUGAACGCCAGGCUGCACGAGGGGGGAGCCGGUGCGUGUCUAAAUUUGGUAUCGUUAUUUAUUAAAGCGGUGCGUGUUCGUGGUGCAAUAAACAGUUUUCUUCCUCCAAGAGUGUAACUCAUUAACUGAAAUAACCAAGAACUGAACAGAGGUCUGCUCAGUCUGGAGAGGAGAGGAUGGAGGUGAAAAUAAAGAAAUCAAGUUAAACAUGAAUGAAAAGAAAACGUUUAUUAAUAUUUUUUACACCACAGGAAACUCAAGUUGCAAUACAUCCACCUCUUCCUCUUCAAACACACAUUUCCUACAGAUUUGGUUAUUUUACGCACAGCCCUCAAAAGCAGUCUGCACCACUGAUGAAGAAUUUAACACAGCCUAACACUGCUGUUAAUUACGCAUAAUUAAAACUUCAUUAAAAAAUGUACAUCUUCAUUAAAGUAGUUGUAAUAAGCUUCAGGGUUGAGAUGACAUCAUGCAUUGAUUACACGUUCAGCUGACAUAGUGGAAAUCUAAAUGUGACCUAGUUGGCUCACUAACAGGCUACCUGAUGACUGCUUCAAGACCCUUUAAAGGGGAAGUUCCCCACGUAAAAAAACCACACAACAUGCGCAGAAAACACUAUCCAAGAAAAGAAAUACGUGGUCACUGUAAUAUUUGGAGAAUUCUUUUAUAACUAUAAAGUUGUGCUUCAUUUAUGCAAUUAAUAAAGACUGCUAAAUAUAUAUAUGUGUAGGCCUUUGUGUUGUCUGAAAACUGCAACACCAUCAUCUGCUUUAAAAUUCAAAGCGGACACUAGGCUGGUGUUUGUGUUUAGGAUGCAUACUCAAGAAGCAUGUAAAGUUUAAUUGUUAAAAAAGUUAAUAUGAUGAUUUAGAAAUGGACUGGUCUGACUAAAAACCAGACUACACCAGAACUAAAAGACAAAAAAGGUCGAUGCUGCCUUCACUGACCAUAAGAAGGCCUGCCUUUAAAGUCAAACUCAUUUACAACACUCAUUAUCUUCAACAGAAGUAGAUAUUGGUAAUUUUCUGCCUUUAAAUGUAGUGUAGUAAAAGUCUUUCAUGCUUUGCCAUGGGCCGAAUGCCUCGUUCGUUGAUUCGUUUUACGUAGUUGACCUACAUGUCAUUUCUGAUUUGAUUGGAAGUUCUUAAAAGAUGCUUUUGAAAUUGUGUUUUCUCAUUUGUCGUGUUGGUUGAACUGCAUAAUUCAAUUUCACUGAAAAUGUCCAGUUUAUCUUUUAGUUAUUGAAGUUAUUGAAGAGGAAAUCGUCCAAAAGGCCCAGUGGUGCAGACUGGACAUGGAGAAAUGCUUUUCAAGAUUUUUGACAUUUUACCCUCAAACGUGCUCAGUGUUUCAUGAGAGAUAGACGUUGUUCUUGCCCGCCUAUAACUCGAAGAUACAGAUAUAAGACAAUGUACUGUGAGCUUUAUUCGUGUGUGUCAAUCUGUCUAUGCAGUCCCGUCAAACACUCCUAAAACAAAACAGUCAAAUCGGAAAUGCAGUCUUCAUUUGGGUCUCUAUGUGGUCGUUUAUCCUAGUAUAUGCAGCUCUGACUUAAGAUAGGGGAGAGUGGGGUAAGUUGAGC